GUGCUCACUUCAGCAUCACAUAUACUAAAAAUUGGAAUGAGGCAGAGAACAUUAGCAUGGCCCCUGUGCAAAGAUGACAAAUUCACGAAGCAUUCCAUAUUUUA